GGGCCCGCACAAGCAGCGGAGCAUGUGGUUUAAUUCGAAGCAACGCGAAGAACCUUACCUAGACUUGACAUCUCCUGAAUUACUCUGUAAUGGAGGAAGCCCUUCGGGGCAGGAAGACAGGUGGUGCAUGGUUGUCGUCAGCUCGUGUCGUGAGAUGUUGGGUUAAGUCCCGCAACGAGCGCAACCCUUAUUGUUAGUUGCUACCAUUUAGUUGAGCACUCUAGCGAGACUGCCCGGGUUAACCGGGAGGAAGGUGGGGAUGACGUCAAAUCAUCAUGCCCCUUAUGUCUAGGGCUACACACGUGCUACAAUGGCUGGUACAGAGAGAUGCUAAACCGCGAGGUGGAGCCAAACUUUAAAACCAGUCUCAGUUCGGAUUGUAGGCUGAAACUCGCCUACAUGAAGCUGGAGUUGCUAGUAAUCGCGAAUCAGAAUGUCGCGGUGAAUACGUUCCCGGGCCUUGUACACACCGCCCGUCACACCAUGAGAGUUGGCAAUACCCAAAGUUCGUGAGCUAACGCGUAAGCGAGGCAGCGACCUAAGGUAGGGUCAGCGAUUGGGGUGAAGUCGUAACAAGGUAGCCGUAGGAGAACCUGCGGCU
rnacentral:rRNA from 1 species